GUGGGUGGCCUCAUUUUUUAAAGAAUUAAUAACUCAAGCCCCAUCCCGUCUGAUCUCAGAAGCUAAGCAGGGUCGGGCCUGGUUAGUACUUGGAUGGGAGACCACCUAGGAAGACCAGGUGCUGUAGGCA
rnacentral:rRNA from 1 species